CCCUCACCUGGGCACCGCCCGGAGCCGCACGCGGGGCCGGCAGCUCUGACGGAUCCCAGCCCCUCCCCCGGAAGGAAUGGAGGGAGCCCCUUCCCACCUGAGCACAGACCUGACGACCCCGGACCUGAGGAAGGCUCUCACCCCCCGCGGCACUGAGGACGCCGACACCGCCGUCAUCGCGGGUGAGGCCCU